UACGGAGGGAGCUAGCGUUGUUCGGAAUUACUGGGCGUAAAGCGCGCGUAGGCGGCUAUUCAAGUCAGAGGUGAAAGCCCGGGGCUCAACCCCGGAACGGCCUUUGAAACUAGAUAGCUAGAAUCUUGGAGAGGCGAGUGGAAUUCCGAGUGUAGAGGUGAAAUUCGUAGAUAUUCGGAAGAACACCAGUGGCGAAGGCGACUCGCUGGACAAGUAUUGACGCUGAGGUGCGAAAGCGUGGGGAGCAAACAGG
rnacentral:rRNA from 1 species